rnacentral:tRNA from 1 species
GGGCCGGUAGAUCAACGGUAGAUCGCCGCUCUUGCAAAGCGGAGGCUCCGGGUUCGAAUCCCGGCCGGUCCA